rnacentral:pre_miRNA from 1 species
UGGAAAUUGUUUGCAUUUACUGCCUUUUUUUUUUUUCUAAAAGGCAGUAAAUGCAAACAAUUUUUUA